rnacentral:rRNA from 1 species
CCUACGGGAGGCAGCAGUGAGGAAUAUUGGUCAAUGGUCGGGAGACUGAACCAGCCAAGCCGCGUGAGGGAUGAAGGUACAGCGUAUCGUAAACCUCUUUUGUCAGGGAACAAAGGCGGGGACGUGUCCCCGGCUGAGUGUACCUGAAGAACAAGCAUCGGCUAACUCCGUGCCAGCAGCCGCGGUAAUACGGAGGAUGCGAGCGUUAUCCGGAUUUAUUGGGUUUAAAGGGUGCGCAGGCGGUCUGUUAAGUCAGCGGUCAAAGCCCGGGGCUCAACCCCGGCCCGCCGUUGAAACUGGCAGUCUCGAGUGGGAGAGAAGUAGGCGGAAUGCGCGGUGUAGCGGUGAAAUGCAUAGAUAUCGCGCAGAACUCCGAUUGCGAAGGCAGCAUGCCGGCUCCACACUGACGCUGAGGCACGAAAGCGUGGGUAUCGAACAGGAUUAGAUACCCGUGUAGUC